rnacentral:rRNA from 1 species
GACAGAGGGUGCAAACGUUGCUCGGAAUUACUGGGCGUAAAGCGCGUGUAGGCUGACCGGAAAGUCGGGCGUGAAAUCCCUGAGCUCAACUCAGGAACUGCACUCGAAACUCCCGGUCUAGAGUGGUGGAGAGGGAAGUGGAAUUCCUGGUGUAGAGGUGAAAUUCGUAGAUAUCAGGAGGAACACCAGUGGCGAAGGAGGCUUCCUGGACACCAACUGACGCUGAGACGCGAAAGCGUGGGGAGCAAACAGG